GAUAUUGCACAAUGGGCGCAAGCCUGAUGCAGCGACGCCGCGUGAGGGAAGACGGUCUUCGGAUUGUAAACCUCUGUCAUCGGGGACGAUAAUGACGGUACCCGAUGAGGAAGCUCCGGCUAACUACGUGCCAGCAGCCGCGGUAAUACGUAGGGAGCAAGCGUUGUCCGGAAUUACUGGGUGUAAAGGGAGCGUAGGCGGGAAGGCAAGUUGAAUGUUUAAUCUAUGGGCUCAACCCAUAUCAGCGUUCAAAACUGCUUUUCUUGAGUGAAGUAGAGGUUGGCGGAAUUCCUAGUGUAGCGGUGAAAUGCGUAGAUAUUAGGAGGAACACCAGUGGCGAAGGCGGCCAACUGGGCUUUUACUGACGCUGAGGCUCGAAAGCGUGGGGAGCAAACAGG
rnacentral:rRNA from 1 species